rnacentral:rRNA from 1 species
UACGUAGGGGGCAAGCGUUGUCCGGAUUUAUUGGGCGUAAAGAGCGUGUAGGCGGCUUUGCAAGUCCGUUGUGAAAACUCGAGGCUCAACCUCGAGACGCCGUGGAAACUGCAAAGCUAGAGUCCGGAAGAGGAGAGUGGAAUUCCUGGUGUAGCGGUGAAAUGCGCAGAUAUCAGGAGGAACACCCGUGGCGAAAGCGGCUCUCUGGGACGGUACUGACGCUGAGACGCGAAAGCGUGGGGAGCGAACAGG